rnacentral:lncRNA from 1 species
AAUCCCCUUUGUCUUCUUCCCCGACUAGAACGAGCCCUUCCUAUUUUUUUACUUCAACUAAUUUCUCGUCCACCAACCCCAUUAUCGUCUUUGAAAGAAAAAAAAUUAUGGGCCCCACCCGUCACACAAAACGUUAAGAACGUAGGUCUCACAUCGUAGUAAAGCAUCGUAUUAUUGUGGUUUCACUUUUUCGGACUCAAAUUUUCACACAAAAUAGUACAUCGAGGUAUUUCGAUUUAUUUUAUGUCGAAACUUGUAUAAUAAUGCAUAAUAGUUGAUUGAAUGUGUUUCCGUGUCGUUUUGUGUUUUAUUUGCGAAACUAAUUGUUAUAUUUAUCCGGACUUAGAUAUUAAUGUUCUAAAAAUAAUGUAAAAUUGAGAAAUAAAUUUUUUUAAUAUCAGGAUUUAGAUAUUAGUAUUUCCGCAUCGUUUUGUGUUUUGUUUGCGAAACUAUUGUGUUAUAUGUAUUUUGUGAAUGUUAUUGAUUAAAAUGCAUUUGUUGUUUAUAUUUUAUUUAGAUUAUUUAUCAGCAUAGUAAAAUAUAGAACCUUUUAACAUAAUAAACUGUAGAGUAUUUUAGCAUAGAAUCCCUGUAGUUUAAGUAUUUCUUAUACUGGUAAAUGAAAAUAUAUACUUUGUACAAUUAAAUAAUUAAAAAUUAAGAAUGCAAAUUAAAAAACAAACACACACACAAUUAUUCAUGAUAGUUUGGUACUACUAGACCUAAAAUAUUGAGCCUGGAACCCAAUAGGUAUAUACAUAUACUUUGUACAUUAAAAAUUUAAAUUAUAAAUAAACACACACAAAAAUAUCAAAUAUUAAAUUUGACACACAUAAAUAUUCAUGAUAGUUUGGUGCUACUUGGCCUCAAAUAUCGAGUCUAGAACCCAAUAGGUAUAUAUACUUUGUACAAUUACAUAUUAAAAAUUAAGAAUUUAAAUUAUAAAAGAAACACACACAAAAUUAUCAAAAUAUUCAAAUUGACACACAUAAUUAUUCAUGAUAGUUUGGUGCUACUGGCCCUCAAAUAUCGAGCCUAGAACCCAAUACGUAUAUAUACUUUGUACACUUAAUAAUUAAAAGUUAAGAAUUUAAAUUACAAAACAAACACACAGAAUUAUCAAAAUAUUGAAUUUGACACACAUAAAUAUUCAUGAUAGUUUGGUGCUACUGGGCCUCAACUAUCGAGCCUGAAACCCAACAGGCAUAUAUACUUUGUAGAAUUACACAUUAAACAUAUAAUUAAUAUUGUUUAAUUUAUAGUUGACGACAUGGACGCGCAGCCUAUACAUCUCAGCCCUUACUCUCGUGAGUUAUUAGUGCUACAGAGCGAUCAUAGGUCCACCCAUUGUCGCACCUCGUUUUUCCUAUCAAAGUGACAAUCGAAAACGGGAUUAUUUAUUAAAAUCAAAGUCGCCACUUGGGAUAGUUUAUGGUGUCCCAAGUUACCGGGUUAAAAUCCCGAAUCGAGGAAGAUGACUCUAAUUACGAUCUGCGGAUAUAGAAAUCAAGGUAAGAAACUAUGUUAACCCAAAAGAAGGUGUUAGGCACUCCCGAGUUCUGUGGUCUAACACAGUCGCUUUGAUCAUACUUGGCUUAAUCAAAUUGUUUAAUUACUGAUCUUAGAACCUAUGUGAAUUUACCCUUUAAUACUUUUUAAAUUAAGAAAAUUAUCUUGAAACGGGUCACGCGUACGUGCACCCACUUAUUUGGCACGACAAAAAUCAUGUCACGCGAACGUGUUCACAAUUAAUAGCGUUUUAUUAUUAUUAAGAAACGUUUGACCACAGUUGCGCAAAUGCAUACUCCGAGUUUGUUUUUAAAAUAGUAAUCAUGUCAUGCGACCGUGUCCGCGACCACAAUAAUAUAUUAAACGUACCUAAAGCAAACUACGAGCAUUUAUUAUUUGUAAUAUCUAAAUUAAGAAAUUAAUACGAGGGCCAUGUACGAUUAACUUUUGGAUGGCGCACCUCGAACUAUAAAAUCCUAAAUCAAUUAGCCACCUAUUAAACCAAUUAUUAUUAAGCAAAAUUUGAUUGAGGUUAUGCGAACGUAUACUCCGAAUUGAUUUUUAAAAUUGUAAUUGUGUCAUGCGAACGCGUACACAAUCACAAUUUUAUUUUAGAAGGCCCUAAAGGCUUUUCUACGAAUGUUCAUCUUUAAUGUCUAAUUAGUAGUUGUGAGGGUCAUAGGUUAAUUUUGACGGCACACCUCAGUCUAAUGACAAGAAUUACUUUAACCAAGGUGAUUUAAGGCCAUAUUUACGCAAUUACUAAAAAGAAAGGGGUUGCGCUGGACUUUCAAGUAUUUGGGCCACGCCUGUUAUAGACAAAGUUAGCAACAACAGUUAAAUGUGGAUCUGGGUUCGAAAGUGGGCUCGAAAGCAAUCCCUAAAACGAUAAGUCAUACAACUCCCAUUUCCAAGUGGCCCCAACGUCCAAGCCCAAAGUAAACCCAAAUCAGGCAAAAGGAUGAAUGCUAAAGGAUAUGGGACUCAAGAUCGAGUCCCUACAGAAACAAGGAAACAUUUGAAGCCAAAGGAAUCCAGCUGAACCCCUUGACUAUGAACUGGCUCGAGUGUUCAAAUACCAUUAAACUAAAUCAAUUUCAACAGAGUAAGCAAGAAAUGUGCAUUAUCUAAUUUAGACGCAAACAUGUAGAAAAUUAAAACACUACAUAAUUAAUGAACCAUAUACCCCUUUGCUUGAACAUUGAAAUUACUGCCAACUGCUAUUGAGUUCAUACAUAGUAAUUUUAACAGUGAAAACUCUAGACAUUAAGCAUACAGUGACCCAAUAGCCCUUGAGUUCAUUCAAUUUUUCUUAAAACAAAACUUAAAUUAUAAACAUCAAAAUCGUUAGUAGAGGUUAACUUGGAACUUAACAUCACUGAGAUUGAACUAAUUCAAUCAAAAUCUAAAAGUAGUGUUACUUAUCCAAAUCGAAUCUACACUAUGAUAGUACAAAUAUCCAAGGACUCAGCAGAAAUAGUUUAAACUAGGCUGAAACCAAAAUAACACAUGAAAGUCCAAUAUAACCCCAAUACAAAUUGUAAUGUCUAUGGCAUGAAUAAAUACAAUGAAUCAAGUAAUAGAACAUAAUUUAAUAUAGAACAAGUAUAAUUUUUCAAUAACACAACUUGAUAUUCAGCUAACUAAAGUUUACAUCUCCCAUCAUGCUUCAGAUUCAAGCUUCACACAUCAAUAAAGUCCAAAGAUGUAUUUGGAUAUCAAAGUAAACCAAAAGAAAAUGAAGAUUUCAGCAGUAGCAGCUGAUCGAAUGAAUCAGCAGGCCAAACACAGCAAGGUUCAAGCUCCCUUAGACCAUUUGUGACCCAGACAACAGAAAUUCUUUAAAAUUUUGGAAAUUCUGACUAACUAUGAAGAUCAAGAGCAAGACCAAAGCAAAUUUCAACCAAAAAAAUACAGAAAAUGUUCAGUAUUUUUAGAGUAUCAAAACUUGCCUGAAAAAUGAAUGAAAGAGGUCCUUAAAUAAGUAGCCUAAGGCAGACCUAGUACAACUAACCAAUUCCCUUUCUACCCUUUCUUUCUUGGUUAUUUUACCCAUUUUAUCCCUUUAAAAAUAUUUGAAACCCUUGCCCUUAACAAACCAGCUCUCAUCUUAUACUCUAGAACCUUCUAUGCUAAUAGAAAAUGAUUCCCUCAAGCCUCAAAUCCCUAAAUUGGCCCUUGACACCCUGUAUUUACCUUCAGAGUGCCAAGUUGGGUCAUGUUAAUCCAAGACCCCAAAUGAACGGGUCUCUUAACUGGGUCAGUGAUGACCAAAGUUAAUACAAGAGACCAAACCAUCACAAAUGAUGAAACAAAGAAGCUCAGAUUCAGAAGAAAAAAAAAAGAUAAACAAUAUUUCAGAACUUUACGAUUAAACCUGACUUAACUACUUAACUAAAAUGAAAUUCACCAUUAAAGAAGACAAGACAAAAUAAUGAAGCAAAUAAAAAAGAAGACCAGGAAAAUGUUGUAAUGAACAGGGUCAUGAGAAAAAAAACGGAAAAGUACCAAUUAUGCCGAAAUGACUUGACCAUUUGAGACGACUCGAUAAGCAGUGAAGGGAGUCGAGGAUUGGUCAUAAUCCAAUGAGUUUGCCAAAAUCUAUCGUACUCGGAAUGAGCUAAAACCAACGCCAAUCGAUUGCUCAUGUUAAGAUCAAUCGACUAAUGUAAGUUAUAGGUCAAAGCAAGCCGGAACUCCCCGCGAAUUUAGAAAAAUAGAAUAACCUAGGGUUUGAACUUCCUAGAUUUGGAAUUAGGGAAAUUGUGAUGGGAUUUUUGGGAAAUAGGUGUUGGGGAUAGGAUUUAGAAGGGCCUGAGGGUGCAUGGUACGAAUUUGGGAUGGUUUGGAGCCGCCGCCGGCGGAUGGCUUGGGAAUUCCAAGGAGGCGGGUUUAGGAUUCAUAAAGAAGCUCUGAGUGAGAAGAUGAAUGAGGGGGCGAUUUGGGGAGGUAGGGUUACUUCCGACAUUUAAAUAUAAGUGAUCUCCCAGUUCUUAGCCGUUCGAUGAGUAAAAAUCAAUAGUUGGGAUAAAAA